rnacentral:tRNA from 1 species
GCGGGUGUGGCGGAAUUGGCAGACGCGCUAGACUCAGGAUCUAGUGCCCUAUUACUGGGCGUGGAGGUUCGACUCCUCUCAUCCGCA